rnacentral:lncRNA from 1 species
CUCAAUUGAAAAUUAAUUUUUAAUAACAUUCAUAUAACAAUAGCCAAUUAUUUUGACCUGGAAAAACCGAAACGAUCCUCUCAAACCAAAUGCAGUGUCAUUGGCAUCAUAGACAUCUUCACAGAUAUUUCACCUAUACCAAAUCUUUAGAGUUUACUUCAAACAUAUUCUCCACUGAAUUUGAUGUGGCAAAAGAUUUACAAGAAUCAAUGAGAUGCAAAAACUGAUGGAUCGUGACACUGCAUAAAGAAAAAGAUAUUAGUAAGGUUCACUUUCCUGCGACAUCAUUAGUAUUUGAUCAAUAAAGAGCCAUUAACAGAAGUGAAAGCCUUGGCCUUAAAGGCAACUUUGAAUUCCAAAUAAAAGAGGCUAGAAAGAAUUGAAAAGAAAUGACUACUAUUUAUGGGAAAAUUCUGACAUGAAGAUGCCUGAUUUCCAAUACUCUGAGCCCUAAAAUCUUGCUAACCGAAUAACAUAGUUAUUCAUCACAUCCCAACUAAAAUUU